rnacentral:rRNA from 1 species
GAUCAUGGCUCAGGAUGAACGCUAGCGACAGGCUUAACACAUGCAAGUCGAGGGCAGCACAGGUAGCAAUACCGGGUGGCGACCGGCGCACGGGUGAGUAACGCGUAUGCAACUUACCUAUCAGAGGGGGAUAACCCGGGCGAAAAGUCGGACUAAUACCGCAUGAAGCAGGGUCCCGCAUGGGAUAGUUUGCUAAAGAUUCAUCGCUGAUAGAUAGGCAUGCGUUCCA